GUUGGGCAUGGUGGUGCAUGCCUGUAAUCCCAGCAACUCGGGAGGCUGAGGCAGGAGGAUCUCAAGUUUGAGGCUCGCUUCAGCACCUUAUCAAGGCUCUA
rnacentral:sRNA from 1 species